GACUUCUGCGGAGGGAUGGCCUACUGUGGACCUCAGGUCGGUGUGGGGCUGGUGCCCCAAGGCGGCCUGGAGCUCCCUCAGCCCGAGGCCACGGUGGGAGCCGGGGUGGAGGGCAGCUCCGAGGGGGCCUCCCUGAGCCCUGCGCCGCCCCGGCUGGCGCCGGGAAGCUGGACAAGGAGAAGCAGGCGCCAAGCCCUGAGGAGUCCCAGGACAUCAGAGCUCUUCAGAAAGACCUGGCACAAUUUGCCAAGCUUCUGAAGCAGAAGAGGAUCACCCUGGGAUACACCAGGCCGAUGUGGGGCUCACCCUAGGGGCUCUCUUUGGGAAAGUGUUCAGCCAAAUGACCACCUGCCGUUUUGAGGCUCUGCAGCUCAGUUUCAAGAACGUGUGCAAGCUGCGGCCCUUGCUGCAGAGGUGGGUGGAGGAAGCCGACAACGACGAGAAUCUACAGGAGGUACGCAAAGCAGAGACCCUCGUGCGGGCCCGGGAGAGAAAGCCAACGAGUAUCGAGAACCGAGUGAGAGGCAACCUGCUGAGCAUGCUCCUGCAGUGCCCCAAACCCACCCUGCAGCAGAUCAGCCACAUCGCCCAGCAGCUCGGGCUUGAGAAGGAUGUGGUCCGAGUGUGCUUCUGCAACCGUCGCCAGAAGGGCAAACGAUCAAGCAGUGACUAUUCGCAACAAGAGGAUUUUGAGGCUCCUGGGUCGCCUUUCUCAGGGGCACCAGUAUCCUUUCCUCUGGCACCAGGGCCCCACUUUAGUACCCCGGGCUACGGGGGCCCUCACUUCACCACACUGUACUUCCUGGUCCCAUUCCCUGAGGGUGAGGCCUUUCCCUCGGUGUCUGUCACCACUCUGGGCUCUCCCAUGCAUUCAAACUGA